CCUACGGGAGGCAGCAGUGGGGAAUAUUGCACAAUGGGCGAAAGCCUGAUGCAGCGACGCCGCGUGAGGGAUGACGGCCUUCGGGUUGUAAACCUCUUUCAGCAGGGAAGAAGCGAGAGUGACGGUACCUGCAGAAGAAGCGCCGGCUAACUACGUGCCAGCAGCCGCGGUAAUACGUAGGGCGCAAGCGUUGUCCGGAAUUAUUGGGCGUAAAGAGCUCGUAGGCGGCUUGUUGCGUCAGUUGUGAAAGCCCGGGGCUUAACCCCGGGUCUGCAGUCGAUACGGGCAGGCUAGAGUGUGGUAGGGGAGAUCGGAAUUCCUGGUGUAGCGGUGAAAUGCGCAGAUAUCAGGAGGAACACCGGUGGCGAAGGCGGAUCUCUGGGCCAUUACUGACGCUGAGGAGCGAAAGCGUGGGGAGCGAACAGGAUUAGAUACCCUGGUAGUCCACGCCGUAAACGUUGGGAACUAGGUGUUGGCGACAUUCCACGUCGUCGGUGCCGCAGCUAACGCAUUAAGUUCCCCGCCUGGGGAGUACGGCCGCAAGGCUAAAACGUCCAAAAGNGUAAGUUGGACGGUCGUAGACGUACGUCGACCGACGACCGACGACGGAGGGAGUUAGG
rnacentral:rRNA from 1 species